AGAGGUUCCUGGAAAUAGCCCCACUGUAAGAUCGUACCCUAAACCGACACAGGUGGACUGGUAGAGAAUACCAAGGCGCUUGAGAGAACGAUGUUGAAGGAACUCGGCAAAAUACCUCCGUAAGUUCGCGAGAAGGAGGCCCAGUUUCUAGGCAACUAGAGGCUGGGGGCACAAACUAGGGGGUGG
rnacentral:rRNA from 1 species